rnacentral:rRNA from 1 species
UACGUAGGGCGCAAGCGUUGUCCGGAAUUAUUGGGCGUAAAGCGCUCGUAGGUGGCUUGUCACGUCGGGUGUGAAAGCUUGGGGCUUAACUCCAGGUCUGCAUUCGAUACGGGCAUCACUGGAGUUCGGCAGGGGAGACUGGAAUUCCUGGUGUAGCGGUGAAAUGCGCAGAUAUCAGGAGGAACACCGGUGGCGAAGGCGGGUCUCUGGGCAACAACUGACGCUGAGGAGCGAAAGCGUGGGGAGCGAACAGG